rnacentral:rRNA from 1 species
AGGGUUUGAUCCUGGCUCAGAUUGAACGCUGGCGGCAGGCCUAACACAUGCAAGUCGAACGGUAACAGGAAACAGCUUGCUGUUUCGCUGACGAGUGGCGGACGGGUGAGUAAUGUCUGGGAAACUGCCUGAUGGAGGGGGAUAACUACUGGAAACGGUAGCUAAUACCGCAUAACGUCGCAAGACCAAAGAGGGGGACCUUAGGGCCUCUUGCCAUCGGAUGUGCCCAGAUGGGAUUAGCUAGUAGGUGGGGUAACGGCUCACCUAGGCGACGAUCCCUAGCUGGUCUGAGAGGAUGACCAGCCACACUGGAACUGAGACACGGUCCAGACUCCUACGGGAGGCAGCAGUGGGGAAUAUUGCACAAUGGGCGCAAGCCUGAUGCAGCCAUGCCGCGUGUAUGAAGAAGGCCUUCGGGUUGUAAAGACCUUCAGCGGGGAGGAAGGGAGUAAAGUUAAUACCUUUGCUCAUUGACGUUACCCGCAGAAUAAUCACCGGCUAACUCCGUGCCAGCAGCCGCGGUAAUACGGAGGGUGCAAGCGUUAAUCGGAAUUACUGGGCGUAAAGCGCACGCAGGCGGUUUGUUAAGUCAGAUGUGAAAUCCCCGGGGCUCAACCUGGGAACUGCAUCUGAUACUGGCAAGCUUGAGUCUCGUAGAGGGGGGUAGAAAUUCCAGGUGUACCGGUGAAAUGCGGAAAGGAUCUGGAGGAAUACCGGUGGCGAAGGCGGCCCCCUGGACGAAGACUGACGCUCAGGUGCGAAAGCGUGGGGAGCAAACAGGAUUAGAUACCCUGGUAGUCCACGCCGUAAACGAUGUCGACUUGGAGGUUGUGCCCUUGAGGCGUGGCUUCCGGAGCUAACGCGUUAAGUCGACCGCCUGGGGAGUACGGCCGCAAGGUUAAAACUCAAAUGAAUUGACGGGGGCCCGCACAAGCGGUGGAGCAUGUGGUUUAAUUCGAUGCAACGCGAAGAACCUUACCUGGUCUUGACAUCCACAGAACUUUCCAGAGAUGGAUUGGUGCCUUCGGGAACUGUGAGACAGGUGCUGCAUGGCUGUCGUCAGCUCGUGUUGUGAAGUGUUGGGUUAAGUCCCGCAACGAGCGCAACCCUUAUCCUUUGUUGCCAGCGGUCCGGCCGGGAACUCAAAGGAGACUGCCAGUGAUAAACUGGAGGAAGGUGGGGAUGACGUCAAGUCAUCAUGACCCUUACGACCAGGGCUACACACGUGCUACAAUGGCGCAUACAAAGAGAAGCGACCUCGCGAGAGCAAGCGGACCUCAUAAAGUGCGUCGUAGUCCGGAUUGGAGUCUGCAACUCGACUCCAUGAAGUCGGAAUCGCUAGUAAUCGUGGAUCAGAAUGCCACGGUGAAUACGUUCCCGGGCCUUGUACACACCGCCC